GAAUUUGAAGCGAUUAAUUGCAAUUAGUUUCGACCUAAUCUUAGAUGUCAUUCAUCCUAAUUCU
rnacentral:tRNA from 1 species